rnacentral:rRNA from 1 species
AACGAACGCUGGCGGCGCGUCUUAAGCAUGCAAGUCGAACGGCAAGAGAGGAGCUUGCUUCUCUCCUAGAGUGGCGGACUGGUGAGGAACACGUGGGUAAUCUACCCUUAAGAUGGGGAUAGCUGCUAGAAAUAGCAGGUAAUACCGAAUACACUCAAAGUUUCACAAGAAGUUUUGAGGAAAGGAAGCUACGGCUUCGCUUGAGGAUGAGCUUGCGUCCCAUUAGCUAGUUGGUGAGGUAAAGGCCCACCAAGGCGACGAUGGGUAUCCGGCCUGAGAGGGUGAACGGACACAUUGGGACUGAGAUACGGCCCAAACUCCUACGGGAGGCAGCAGCUAAGAAUAUUCCGCAAUGGACGGAAGUCUGACGGAGCGACGCCGCGUGGAUGAAGAAGGCUGAAAAGUUGUAAAAUCCUUUUGUUGAUGAAGAAUAAGGGUGAGAGGGAAUGCUCAUCUGAUGACGGUAAUCGGCGAAUAGCCCAGGUAUUCAAC